rnacentral:rRNA from 1 species
UACGGAGGGUGCAAGCGUUAUCCGGAUUCACUGGGUUUAAAGGGUGCGUAGGUGGGUUUGUAAGUCAGUGGUGAAAUCUCCAGGCUUAACCUGGAAACUGCCAUUGAUACUACAGGUCUUGAAUUUUCUGGAGGUAAGCGGAAUAUGUCAUGUAGCGGUGAAAUGCUUAGAUAUGACAUAGAACACCAAUUGCGAAGGCAGCUUGCUACAGGAAUAUUGACACUGAGGCACGAAAGCGUGGGGAUCAAACAGG